GCCGCGCGCCCGGACGCUCCAAGGAGCAGAAAACACCCACCAUCAUGGCUGCUCCAAGGCAAGAGCUAGCGCAGGCGCACAGGAAACGGAGUCCCUACAGGCUCUCCAGGACACCCGGGCAGUGGUCAGGACUCUCUAUUGAGCCUCUGCCUGGCCUCCCCUGCCCCAGCUGCUGGACCGGACCUCCAACUGGGUAAUUGGAUCCUGACCAGAAAAUUUACUCGUGGCUCAGCAUUGGAACCCUGCUGGACCGGCCCACACUAGGCCAUCCUCUCCAAUCCCUCAGCAGUGAAGGUGGCCCACCGUAAGGCUCGGAGCCAUCAUUCACAUGUGAAGCCUUGCCCUGCUCCCGAGGCACCUGCAGGACUCAACUCAGGAAGAUGGUGUUUUCAUAUCUUAUCCCCUUUUAUGGGCCUGAUCCUCUCUCUUGCUUCCCCCUUCCCCCCCCAACCCCACCCCGCAUUGGGGAAGCCCGGCCACUAUUCUCCCCAUAGAUAUGUGUGGACCUUAAUGAGAACUACUUGGGGGAGGUGGAGGCCCAAAAUGAGACUUAUGGGCAGCCGUGGUUCUAUCUGUACCUAUGCCAGCUCUUGGGAAGGACCUGGGGUAUCAGGUUUUAUGCGGCAGGAAGAGAUUUGGGAGUCCUGCUCACAACCCAAAGAAGGAGCCUCCCGAGGGAAAACAUCCCUAUAGGCCCUAAUAUACCUCCUUGGCCUCCACUGCCCAGAGGACCAUUGUCUCCCUAUGGGACCUUUAUAUCAGCCCUUGAUGGAAUAUACCAGCUGAUAAAUCUGACCAGCCCCACCCUCUCCAUAAGCUGUUGGCUCUGCCUGAACCUGGCCCCCCCUGCUUUGUGGGCAUAGACUUAAAUGCCACCUGGGGGACAGAGGCCCACUCCAUCCCGAAUCUUUCACUCUCAGCCAAGAACCUGCCCCCAGAGUGCACCGCCACGUUCCCAGGUUAACUUUCGGAGGGGUGAGGCAUGUUGCAUCAAGUCAGAGGGCUACGAUCUGGAGCACUACAAAAAGCACUGUGUGGAAAUUGUUGUACUUUCCCCACACAAAGAUACUGUAAACUCUCUAAUACGGACCUCCGCAGGGUCCUAUUUUGCAUGCACUAUGGGAUUGAUCCUUUGUAUCAGUGAAUUCACUUUAACAUUGAAAGAAUCUCCUGAGCUUUGCCUGCUUGUGUACGUGUUUCCUCAGGUCUAUCUGUAUUCUGAGGAAAGAGCCUAAGAACAUUUUGGUCUGUUAGAUAGGGCAAGGAGAGCUACUCCUAUUCUAGUUCCCCCUCCUAGUGGGAUUGGGGAUAGCAGGCCCCACAGCUGUGGGGACCGCUGCCCUGAUCCAUGGUGACAGCCAGCUCCCAGGUGGACCAGGAAUUGAAGGACUGGGAAAUUAAAUAUCCUUCUUGGAGAGCUCCCUAAACUCCUUGGCAGAGGUGGUCCUACAGAAUCAUUGGGGGCUAGAUUUUUUCUAUCUUAACAAGGAGGGGUACAUAUGGCCCUCAGGGCAGCUUGCUGUUUCUAUGCUAACAACUUUGGGGUAAUAAGAGAGUCCCUUUCUGCAGUGAGCUGGUGGAUCAAGGACCGGGAGAAGGCUCAACGCCAAUCAAUGUCUUGGUCCUAGUCACUUUUCACUUGCUCCCCCUGAGUAACCUCUUUUGUGAUCUCCUUGAUAGGCCCUCUUACCCUAUUUCUGCUGGAUCUACUGAUUGCCCCCCGUUUGAUUGUUUAACCCUGUAUAUCAGAAAGAAGAUCCAGGCUGUUGUUUGUUGCCAGAGUCACUUACUCUCCCCUGGCCUCUGAUGAGUCCAGUCUCUGACGGUCUCAAGAAAAGGGGGGAGUGAGUAGAAAAGCACCCCAAAAUGGGACAGUGAGAAACAUAAUCUUGAAUCUUUGUAGUUAGAAGUUUAUUACUAGUUCUUCACUCCCUAAUGCAGAUGGUAUUUUUAACAACCCAGAUGUACUGUCCUGAGAGUCUUGAGACCUUGACAAGCUUAAAGCUUAAAGAUAAUGCUGCUUGCUGCUGCCUGAGAAUGACCCCCUUAGAGUGAUAACUUUUUGCUUCCUGUUUAGAAUAGAAAUUCCUUUAUUAUGACAAAUGUAUCAAGAAAUAUUUUGAUGUCUCUCUCUUCUUUCUAUAAAUAUAUGGCCCUAGGGCCACUCAUUACUGAUCCCUCCAGUCUUGGUAUUGGGGUUCAGUCGCUAACUAGCAAUAAACGUUCUUAAAACUUCA